rnacentral:rRNA from 1 species
UACGGAGGAUCCAAGCGUUAUCCGGAUUUAUUGGGUUUAAAGGGUGCGUAGGCGGCCUGUUAAGUCAGGGGUGAAAGACGGUAGCUCAACUAUCGCAGUGCCCUUGAUACUGAUGGGCUUGAAUGGACUAGAGGUAGGCGGAAUGUGACAAGUAGCGGUGAAAUGCAUAGAUAUGUCACAGAACACCGAUUGCGAAGGCAGCUUACUAUGGUCCUAUUGACGCUGAGGCACGAAAGCGUGGGGAGCAAACAGG